UCGAAGAAAAAUGUACUACCGCUUGACGC
rnacentral:piRNA from 1 species